rnacentral:rRNA from 1 species
AGCAGUGGGGAAUAUUGGACAAUGGGCGCAAGCCUGAUCCAGCAAUGCCGCGUGGAUGAAGAGGGUCUUCGGAUUGUAAAGUCCUUUCGGCGGGGACGAUGAUGACGGUACCCGCAGAAGAAGCCCCGGCUAACUUCGUGCCAGCAGCCGCGGUAAUACGAAGGGGGCUAGCGUUACUCGGAAUGACUGGGCGUAAAGGGCGCGUAGGCGGCUUUUCUAGUCAGGCGUGAAAUUCCUGGGCUCAACCUGGGGGGCUGCGUUUGAUACAGGAAGGCUAGAGUGGGGAAGAGGGUCGUGGAAUUCCCAGUGUAGAGGUGAAAUUCGUAGAUAUUGGGAAGAACACCGGUGGCGAAGCGGCGACCUGGUCCUUGACUGACGCUGAGG